UCAUACGGAAUGGAGUGUGGUCUGAGACUGACGCUUUCGAGCGACCACAAAAUAGCUACCGAAACCUGAAAAGUAGCGCUGUAAGAGCGGUAAACCCGUUGAACCUUUGAAAACGGGUGUCACCCCACUAAGGUGAUA
rnacentral:sRNA from 1 species